GGUUGCUACAUUCUUUUGUUAAUUUUUACUUAUUUAUCAUGUCACAUUUGGAUGAGCCAACAAGAAAGGAAAAGUGACAGAAGGGAGGAAAAUCGGUUUUUGUUGCUCUUCUUCAGCUUUCAGAAGCUCUAGUUACUUCCUCGGUACUGGAGAAAGUUCAUUAUCAAGGUCUGAUGUUAUAAAGAGAAUGUAGGAUUACAUAAAAGAAAAUAACCUCCAGGAUCCGUCUUACAAGAGAAUAAAAUUGUGUGAUGAGAAACUGAAAGAA